rnacentral:rRNA from 1 species
UACGUAGGGGGCUAGCGUUGUCCGGAAUCAUUGGGCGUAAAGCGCGUGUAGGCGGUCCGGUAAGUCCGCUGUGAAAGUCGGGGGCUCAACCCUCGGAUGCCGGUGGAUACUGUCGGGCUUGAGUACGGAAGAGGCGAGUGGAAUUCCUGGUGUAGCGGUGAAAUGCGCAGAUAUCAGGAGGAACACCAAUUGCGAAGGCAGCUCGCUGGGACGUUACUGACGCUGAGACGCGCAAUCGUGGGGAGCAAACAGG